UUUGCGCUAUGUAAAGUCACUCAGUAUCUCAUUUAAGCAACUAUUUGUAUAUUCUAGAGGGACAUUACAGUAUAAAUGAAUCAUAGUUAUACUCUAAAGUAGUCAGUAUACAGCGUGUAUAUCAGUAUCAAUGUUGGCGUUAACGCACUUUUUGUGUCUUUUUACGCAUUGAAAUCAUUAAGGACGCGCAUUUCCGGAAGUCUGGGCGUCCCCGAGACGCAGAUUUUUAAAAACAUUUUUACCGACCCUCCGGUUUGCUUGUUUUUUUAUCGAAUAUCACUUUCCGUCUGUGUUUUUGUUUUGAUUAUACUUGCCGGUGUUGUGCCAAAAUGGGAUUGCCUGCCAAAAAAAUAUUUCCUUAGCGGGAACGCGCACCGCUCGCUUAUUAACCUGCAUUGCUUGGCUCGUCUGUCCACAGCGGAUUACUAGGUGUUAGGCAAACAGUUUAUCUAUGUGGUUAUUGUAACGCUACGUGUUUGACAUUAUUUAAGCUUUUAUCGUGUCUGGAAAAUGACCGUUUGCCUUUUCUGCGGUAUUAAUGAGAUUUAAAGGACUGUUGUUAGUCCGAUGUUGAUGUGAGAAAACCUCUUUCUUGUUUGGAAGAUAAAUACAAUUUUAAUUGUUAUUUGACCCCGAAGGGAAUAAGCGGUAGAAAAUGGAUGGAUGGAUUUCUUCAUGCACAUAACAAACAUUUACAAAGUGUUUGGAUGUAUUAAUUUAUGUAAACAAUUUAUUAAAUGUAAUAUUGCCUGAAAAAGAGUGAGUCAAUGUAAUAUUUUGAUAUUUACACAUCGCAUAUUUACACACGCAUAUUUUACUAGAAUACCCUUAUGAGCAUUACAUAUAUCAGAAUCAAGUACCUACUGUGCUGUUUACUUGUUAAAAUGCACUUUACAAAGCUAAAAUCUAACCAAACGACCACUUUGUUGGGUGUCAAAAAUUGAUUUCAAGUAAUAUUUUGAUACUGACACAUCUUAUGUUUGCAUAUUUUACUAGAAUACCCUUAUGAGCAUUACAUAUAUCAAAAUCAAGUACCUACUGUACUUGUUGAAAUACCCUUUAAAUACAUUUUUGACACCAGCAAAGUGGUCGUUUGUGUAGAUAUUUGCUCUAAAAAGGGUAUUUCAACAAAUAAACAGCACAGUAGGUACUCAAUUUUGAUAUAUGUAAUAGGGCUGAACGAUUUAUCGUUUUCAGAUCGAAAUUGCGAUUUCAGAAGUCUCAAUCUUGAGAUCGUGAAGGCUUCGGUUUUAGACGAACGUUAUUUAGCUCUCCUGGCUGACAUGUCUGUUGUGUAUAUGCAGCCUGCUCGUGCUACUCUCAUGCCUUGUCAAACUCACCAAUCAGAAGUGGUAAACUACUUGUGAGCAGGGCAUGCCGUCACGCUAACCAAUCAGAGGCGGCCAUUGACGAGGCUACCGCGUACACGCCCACUAACAACUUUGGUGAAGAAACAAACGUCCUGGAGGAAAUGGCUGCUGCCGCCGGGUCAGAAGUGGAGGAGGAUUUAGUUUUAAUACAGAAGAAGAGCAGCACGUCUGUCAUUUGGGACUACUUCGGUUUCGAAACUUCAGAUGUGCAUCAGAAACAGGUACUUUGUAAAACUUGUCGGGCCAAAGUCGCCACAUCCCAAGGCAACACGACUAAUUUAUUCCGGCACUUGAAAAAUCACCACCGGCAGUUACACGACGAAUGUAUGACCAAAAAGUCCGGUGAAAAGUCAACCCCGAGCGAUUCAGCCCAUUGUAGCAAACAUACCACAAUUACAGCGUCGUUUGCCAGUAUAACUCCUUAUGAGAAGAGCAGCCGCAGACACAAGGAGAUAACGACCGCCAUAACACACUACAUUGGCAAAGACAUGGUGUCUGUUAACACCGUUACCAAAGAGGGAUUUCAAAACCUCCUCCACACGCUGGACAGAAGAUACAAGAUUCCCUCCCGCACCUAUUUCAACCAGGUCGCCAUCCCACAGCUUUACGCCGAGUGCAAGGAAAAAGUGGAAAGAGAGGUGAAAAAUGUGCUUUAUUACGCCACAACUACCGAUAUGUGGUCAAGCAGAACAAGCGAACCGUAUCUUAGCUUGACCUUGCAUUACAUAAAUGACGACUUUGAGUUGAAAAGUCGCUGCCUGCAGACAGCAUACUUUCCCAUGGAUCACACAGGAGAGAAUAUCGCCCUCGGAUUAAGAGAGUGUCUAGCAAGCUGGGGUCUGAAAGAGGAGGACCAGACGUGCAUCACAACUGACAAUGGAGCAAACGUCGUCAAAGCUGUGCAGCUUAAUCAGUGGACCAGGCUUCAAUGUUUUGGCCACAGGCUACAUCUUGCAAUUGGUAAGUGUGUGUGUGUGUGUGUGUGUGUGUGUGUGUGUGUGUGUGUGUGUGUGUGUGUGUGUGUGUGUGUGUGUGUGUGUGUGUGUGUGUGUGUGUGUGUGUGUGUGUGUGUGUGUGUGUGUGUGUGUGUGUGUGUGUGUGUGUGUGUGUGUGUGUCUCUGUCUCUGUCUCUGUCUCUGUCUCUGUCUCUGUCUCUGUCUCUGUCUCUGUCUCUGUCUCUGUCUCUGUCUGUGUGUGUAUGUCUGUGUUUUUGUUGUUGUUUGUUUUUGUUUACUUAGAAUAUUUUUGUACAUUUGAGACAUGCUAGAAUGUAGCUAAUGAUGGUACAGAUUUAAUGUGAUGGGUGCUUGUUGCCUUCAGUAUAGUCAGUAUAGUUUUUCUCUUAAUGUUUUUCUUUAAAUCCCUUACAAAUUAAAAAUUAUAAUAACAGAUUUAUAAUCAAUAUUAGAUGAUGAAUAAUGAUGAAUAAUGUGUUAUGUGCUUUUGAUUAUUGCUUUACCCUCUGUUGUCUAUAAUAUGGUUUUCUAUAUUCUUUUUUCCCCUCUUGUCCAGAAAAUGCUGUUAAAGAUGAUGUAAGAGUUAAACGGGCAACAGGACUCUGCAAGCAGCUGGUUGGACAUGAAGGCCGCACUGAAAAAGGCACAGCAAGAAUUGAAGAUACCGGAGCACUCACUGAUUACAGAGUGUCCGACGAGGUGGGGCUCACGACAGAGGAUGAUUGGGAGGGUGUUGGAGCAGAGUAAGGCGUUGUCUCAGGUUCUAUCUGAAGACAAGAAGACACGUCACCUGGUCCCCACUUGGCAGGACACAGAUGUCCUUGAGUCAUUAAACAAUGCCCUUGGCCCUCUUCAGGAGUUUACUGAUGCCCUGUCCGGUGAAGCCUAUGUAAGUGUGUCCUACCUGAAGCCAGUCCUCCAUCUCCUGAGGACAUCGAUCCUGACUGUAGACAAAGACGACCCAGAUCUUACCAGGGACAUAAAGUCAAGAGCUCUUCGCUAUAUUGAAGAUAAAUACAGCGACCCAGCCACACAGGAGCUACUAGAUAUUGCUUCGUUCCUUGAUCCUAGAUUCAAAACUGACUACAUAAGAGCAGAGAAUGUCCCAGACAUCAAAGAAAGAGUGAGGAUCGAAAUGGAACAGGUGGCACGAAAGGAAAAGAGGGCCCGUGUCAGCACUACAGAGGCCAUGCCCCAGGGUGCAGCAGAGGCAGAGCCAUCUACUGUGGGGAAGGGAAAGCGGUCAUUGGGCAGCUUCUUCAAGAGCAGACCGUCUGUGCCUCCUCCUUCCACCACCAUGCAGUUGGAGGAUGCCAUUAAUGCAGAGCUGAACAGCUACCUGAUAACUCCUACAAUUGAUGGAGAGGACAAUCCCCUGGCCUGGUGGAGAGUGCACAAUGUUAACUUUCCAUGGUUGAACAAACUGGCUCGCAAGUUUCUGUGCAUACCAGCCACCAGUUCACCAUCAGAAAGAUUGUUUAGUGCUAGUGGCAAUGUUGUCACAUGUCAGCGCUCAUGUCUUAAACCAUCAAAGGUUGACAUGCUAGUUUUCUUGACCAAAAAUCUGUGAAGAGUGAUGUAGAGAUGUCAGGGAAGCAAGUAUUAUUGUUAAAGUACUUUUUAGAUUGUGUUUGUUCUGCACUUUACCCUGACUUGUGGUGUCAGUUUUUGUAAAAAAAAAAAAGAUAAAUGCUAGUUUUCAGGAAUAUUAUGUUCUAUUGUUAACAGAAUAGAUGUGCAAUAUUUGGGUGCUGCUAAGCGGUAAAUGAAUGACCCACCUAUUUUAAUGUCUGACAUAUUUUUCAGAAGGGCAGAGGUUGGGUCAUUUUGUUUUUGUAAUAGUAUUUUCUUUAUUACCAUUACUUUUCAAUUUCACUUUAAAAUAUUGUUCAGGUUUCUUCCAGGGUUGAAUAAAGUACUUGAAUUGCUGCUAUAGAUGUUGAUAGGCUAGCUCUCUUGAGCCAUAAAAGACUGACCUACCUACUUGAGUAUAAGACUGUUUACAUAAGGUCAGGAUCCUUUUUUUCCUUUAUUGAAGUUGUUGAAUUUUGUUUUUCUUAUUAUAUAUUAAGCAUUGCUUUUUGUGUUGGAAUUGUUUUGUAUUUUAUUUAACUUAAACUUUUUUAUUUAUCUUAACAUAAUUAAGGUUUUUGUACUGGUUUUAGUUCUUUAGUUUUAAUAACUGCUGUUGGUCAAGAACUUUGGAGAAUGUACAUGCAUGUUUCUUAAUAAAU